CCUACGGGUGGCAGCAGUGGGGAAUAUUGGACAAUGGGGGGAACCCUGAUCCAGCCAUGCCGCGUGUGUGAAGAAGGCCCUCGGGUUGUAAAGCACUUUCAGUGAGGAAGAACGCCUGGUGGUUAAUACCCAUCAGGAAAGACAUCACUCACAGAAGAAGCACCGGCUAACUCCGUGCCAGCAGCCGCGGUAAUACGGAGGGUGCGAGCGUUAAUCGGAAUUACUGGGCGUAAAGCGCGCGUAGGUGGCUUGAUAAGCCGGUUGUGAAAGCCCCGGGCUCAACCUGGGAACGGCAUCCGGAACUGUCAAGCUAGAGUGCAGGAGAGGAAGGUAGAAUUCCCGGUGGAGCGGUGAAAUGCGUAGAGAUCGGGAGGAAUACCAGUGGCGAAGGCGGCCUUCUGGACUGACACUGACACUGAGGUGCGAAAGCGUGGGUAGCAAACAGGAGUAGAUACCCUUGUAGUC
rnacentral:rRNA from 1 species